AUACGGAGGGUGCGAGCGUUGUUCGGAAUCACUGGGCGUAAAGGGCGCGCAGGCGGUUUGUCAAGUCAGAUGUGAAAGGCCACGGCUCAACCGUGGAGGUGCAUCUGAAACUGGCAGACUUGAGUACCGGAGGGGAAAGUGGAAUUCCCGGUGUAGAGGUGAAAUUCGUAGAUAUCAGGAGGAACACCGGAGGCGAAGGCGACUUUCUGGACGGAUACUGACGCUGAGGCGCGAAAGCGUGGGGAGCAAACAGGAUUAGAAACCCCAGUAGUCC
rnacentral:rRNA from 1 species